CCCCUCUCAGGAUCAUUCCUGGAGAGUUUCCAGUACUCUACCAGUCUCGGCUAAGGAGGGAGAGUCAAGCAGAGGCACACCCGUUCCAUUUCUAUCUUGGGCAGUAGCUAGCGAGUGGAAAGCCAUCUGCUACAGGU